rnacentral:rRNA from 1 species
GACGAACGCUGGCGGCGUGCUUAACACAUGCAAGUCGAGCGAGGAGCUUGCUCCUAGCGGCGAACGGGUGAGUAACACGUGGGCAACCUGCCCCAAGCUCUGGAAUAACUCCGGGAAACCGGGGCUAAUGCCGGAUAUGACAUCGCUGGGCAUCUGGUGGUGUGGAAAGAUUUAUCGGCUUGGGAUGGGCCCGCGGCCUAUCAGCUUGUUGGUGGGGUGAUGGCCUACCAAGGCGACGACGGGUAGCCGGCCUGAGAGGGCGAUCGGCCACACUGGGACUGAGACACGGCCCAGACUCCUACGGGAGGCAGCAGUGGGGAAUAUUGCGCAAUGGGCGAAAGCCUGACGCAGCGACGCCGCGUGAGGGAUGACGGCC